CCGGAAUAGCUCAGUUGGUAGAGCAGAGGACURAAAMUCCUCGUGUCACC
rnacentral:tRNA from 1 species